rnacentral:rRNA from 1 species
GAUGAACGCUGGCGGCGUGCCUAACACAUGCAAGUCGAACGGAAAGACGAUAAGCUUUUUCUUUUGAGGGUAGCGGCGGACGGGUGGGUAAUAAAUGGAUAGUCAACUUCUAUCUCUUGGGGGAUAACGGCAGGCAAGUGCUGCUAAUACAUAAUAUAUUGUACCGGUUGGAUCAAGGGUGCUUGACAGCUUUGGUGUCUGUUAUAGAUGGUUUCGCGCCGUAUUAGCGAGUUGGUAAGGUAACGGCCUACCAAGGCGACGAUGCGUAGCCGACCUGAGAGGAUGAUCGGCCACACUGGAACUGAGACACGGUCCAGACUCCUACGGGAGGCAGCAGUGGGGAAUAUUGGGCAAUGGGCGCAAGCCUGACGGAGCCACGCCGCGUGGGUGAUGAAGGUCUUCGGAUCGUAAAGCUCUGUUAUUAGGGAAGAACAAAUGCGGAAGUAACUAUGGACGUCUUGACGGUACCUAAAGAAAAAGCCCCGGCUAACUUCGUG